UUUUUUUUUUUCCUUUUCGGCUCCUGGCUCUCUUCUCUUCCUAUCAACUCCUGCCUCUCUUCUCUUCCUAUCAAGCGAUGAGUCGAUGAAAUCAUCACAGAAAUCUCUUCAAUCGUCAAUCUGUGGUUUGAAGAACUGAAGAACUGAUUGUAACAUAUGAACUGAAGAACUGAUUUGUUAAUCCAACUUAAAAGUCUUUUGGUUAUACUGCAGGCUUGAGAUAAUGGUGCUUAUUGCUAAUCAGUGGGUGCAAGAAGCCUUCAAUCUAGUGUUCAAAUUGGUUAUAUAGUUGGCUUUGGUUUUGUGGUUUUUAGAUGUUCUUUAUAUGAUCUUGCCAUGCCCAUUGGCAAGGCUUUUUCCGUGUUCCUUUUAGCUGUUUUUAGCUGGAUUUAGACCUCUUCAAAAUGUCAUCAAAAUAUAAUUCAUAGAUAAGGAUUUAGGAUGUACCUUGGGGGCUUUGUGCAGAAGAACUCGUUGCUCAAGUAAGUGUUGAUGGAGCUACACAUUGGUUAACGUCAACCGACUCUAUGCUUUUUAAUUUCAAGGAUGAAAUAUUGGAUGAGAUGCCCCUACCUAGCAAAUUUAUGUUCAUUCAGAGGGUCCCUUUGCUUAAAUGGUUCUGUUGGUUCCCUAGACAGGUUGCUCAACUUUAGUUUGUCAUGAAAACAUCCAUAAAUCUCAAGUCUUAUGCUAAGCAGAAUUCAUACUAUGCUACUACCUUUGUCUGUGUGCAGAUCCUUGUAAUGCUUAACUCGGGUACUUAUGGUGCGCUACAAGAAAUAGAAGACUCCAAGAUUAGCAGUUUCAGGCUUGUUGUUGCUGAAGAGUUCAGUUCUGUUUAGAUAUUCAAGACGUUUUACUUAACUCUGCUAGCUCAAGAACAGUAGAUCUGGAUAGCAUUAAUUCAGGUGCUCAUGUUUGCGGAGUAGAAAGGGGAGACUUUGAAGAUGAUGAUGACUCAGAAUACGAAGAAGAGGAGGUAGGUCCUGAAAUAGAGGCAAAUGAAGAACCUAUUUGCAUUUCUUUUCUCCGAGGAAGGUCCAAAUAAUCAGACAUCGUCGGCUAAGUGCAUCAGUGACUUCGUGUGUGUCACUUUGUGUUAAUUCAUUGUGAAAACAUGGUUGUUUUUCUUGGUCCAGCUAUUAACUCUUUGCAGUUCCUCUAUUUUCUUACCGCAAGUAUCUUUGUCCCCUGGGAGGCUGCAAGGAGAUCAAUGGUUAUCCUGGUGACUGUUCAUUCGGAGCAGCUCCUGUGAAUGUCAUCAUGACGAGUUUUGCAGCCAGUGCUCAAUGCAAUGUGGGUGGAUUACACUAGGAAAAAUGAUGUUGUUCACCUUCUUUGGCUCUAUGGAGGCCAACAAAGACAAAUUUCUUACAAGUUAUUUUGUAUGUGAAUUUUGUGGAGGAACUCUUUCAUAUACAAAAACAGCAGCGAGGAGGAUAGUCGAAGGUGAAGCAGCAGACAGCUGUAUCAUUAUUUCCAUUAAGAGAAAGUUUGUUGAUGCAAAAACAAAGACACGUCAGGUUAUUUGAAUGAUGCUCUAUUUGAUCAGAAAGGGUGGAGAAUAAAGAAGCUUCAAGUUUUAUAAGUUCCAUGUAUUCAAGUUUUGUAAGUUUUGUAGGCAGUUAGUAAGUUUCUACGUGUUCCCUUAGAAAUUUGGAACCUUCCAUGUAUGCUUCAAGUUUUGUAAGUUCCAUGUAUUCAAGUUUUGUAAGUUUUGUAGGCAGUUAGUAAGUUUCUACGUGUUCCCUUAGAAAUUUGGAACCUUCCAUGUGUUCCCUUAGAAAUUUGGAACUUAACAAAAAAAAAGAGUUGGGUACUUGGAGAAAUUUCAGAUCUUUUGUAAUAGAUAUUUGUUUAGUUCUUUUGUAAUAUAAAUCUGAUAUGAAUU